GUCUUCCUAGAGUAAUGCAACUCGCUCCCACCUGUUAUUUGGGUCAUAAUACUCGCAAGCACGGGAGAGCCGGUGGUUCGAAUCCACCCGAAGACA